rnacentral:rRNA from 1 species
GUGGGGAAUUUUGGACAAUGGGCGCAAGCCUGAUCCAGCAAUGCCGCGUGCAGGAAGAAGGCCUUCGGGUUGUAAACUGCUUUUGUACGGAACGAAACGGUCCUGGCUAAUACCCGGGGCUAAUGACGGUACCGUAAGAAUAAGCACCGGCUAACUACGUGCCAGCAGCCGCGGUAAUACGUAGGGUGCGAGCGUUAAUCGGAAUUGCUGGGCGUAAAGCGUGCGCAGGCGGUGCUGUAAGACAGGCGUGAAAUCCCCGGGCUCAACCUGGGAAUUGCGCUUGUGACUGCAGUGCUGGAGUGCGGCAGAGGGGGAUGGAAUUCCGCGUGUAGCAGUGAAAUGCGUAGAUAUGCGGAGGAACACCGAUGGCGAAGGCAAUCCCCUGGGCCUGCACUGACGCUCAUGCACGAAAGCGUGGGGAGCAAACGGGAUUAGAUACCCUGGUAGUCC